CAGGUAGGAGUCUUGGCAACUGCAGGAUAAUCUUUCACCUUUUACUAAAGAUUUCCAUGGAGAGGAAUGAUUCUGUGUCUUUACUCAAUUUUUUGAGGCCUCGUUUCAGCAAGGCU